AACGAACGCUGGCGGCAUGCCUAACACAUGCCAGUCGAACGAGACCUUCGGGUCUAGUGGCGCACGGGUGCGUAACGCGUGGGAACCUGCCCUUAGGUUCGGAAUAACUCCCCGAAAGGGGUGCUAAUACCGGAUAAUGUCUUCGGACCAAAGAUUUAUCGCCUUUGGAUGGGCCCGCGUUGGAUUAGCUAGUUGGUAGGGUAAAAGCCUACCAAGGCGACGAUCCAUAGCUGGUCUGAGAGGAUGAUCAGCCACACUGGGACUGAGACACGGCGCAGACUCCUACGGGAGGCAGCAGUGGGGAAUAUUGGAAAAUGGGCGAAAGCCUGAUCCAGCAAUGCCGCGUGAGUGAUGAAGGCCUUAGGGUUGUAAAGCUCUUUUACCCGGGAUGAUAAUGACAGUACCGGGAGAAUAAGCUCCGGCUAACUCCGUG
rnacentral:rRNA from 1 species